rnacentral:rRNA from 1 species
CCUACGGGAGGCAGCAGUGGGGAAUAUUGCGCAAUGGGCGAAAGCCUGACGCAGCAACGCCGCGUGGGGGAUGAAGGCCUUCGGGUUGUAAACCUCUUUCAGCAGGGAAGAAGCGAAAGUGACGGUACCUGCAGAAGAAGCACCGGCUAACUACGUGCCAGCAGCCGCGGUAAUACGUAGGGUGCAAGCGUUGUCCGGAUUUAUUGGGCGUAAAGAGCUCGUAGGCGGUUAGUCACGUCGGAUGUGAAAUCCCGGAGCUUAACUCCGGGCCUGCAUUCGAUACGGGCUGACUCGAGUGUUGUAGGGGAGACUGGAACUCCUGGUGUAGCGGUGAAAUGCGCAGAUAUCAGGAAGAACACCGGUGGCGAAGGCGGGUCUCUGGGCAACUACUGACGCUGAGGAGCGAAAGCGUGGGGAGCAAACAGGAUUAGAUACCCUGGUAGUCCACGCCGUAAACGGUGGGCGCUAGGUGUGGGGAACAUUCCACGUUCUCUGCGCCGCAGCUAACGCAUUAAGCGCCCCGCCUGGGGAGUACGGCCGCAAGGCUAAAACUCAAAUGAAUUGACGG